rnacentral:misc_RNA from 1 species
UCAACCUCUCAAGCUUUGGCUUGUCGUUGGACCUUGCAGAUGCCGGUAAUCGGCGGGGGCAGGUCUUCAAGCUAGUGGCGGAGUUCGGAGUGGACCCCGGAUACAACGAGCUCUCUGUAGCAUGUAUCAAGGUGGCCCGCCGACCCUAGCCUUGUCGAAAAGUCUUUAACCAU